AAGUUCUCGUGUGAGUUUGCAAAAACAAAACGGUGAUGGCGUGGUUGGGGCCCAAAACAGACAAUAUCGUGCUACGGUGGAGUCGAGCCUAGGAUGUGGUGGGGGCCCGGGCUGGGAUGUGACAUCCUAACAAAUCUCUGAUUUAAAAAAAAAAAGACCAAAUCGAUUAAUGGUCCAUGUAGUCAUAAGAUAUUUGAAAGAUAACUCAUGUGGUAAAAAAAUUGUUUUUAAACUUCUGUGGUGUAAUCUAUUAGCAUAUUUAGUCUAAAAAUGAUUUUGGCUUUAAAUGUCCAUUAAAUGCAUGGGUAAAACUAUACUUUGACAUGGUGUUGUGAAAAAUAAUAUUUUAAUAGCACUAAAUAGCUUUUAUUCCAAUUCACCUACCAUUUUUGUUGGGGGAUUUUUUUUUUAUUUGAUUAUACUGAAACUUAGUUUCUAAGAAAAAGAAUUUAGCUUUGAGGAGGAGGAAGAGUUGCAGUUGCUGCUUCCUUUUGCCAUUUUUUUGGGAAUACCUACUGCUUCAUCAUUAUUAGGUUCAUGUUUUGUUCGUUUGAGGUUAUUCACCUAGACCUGAUAAUUUCUUACACGACACGUAAAUGACACAAAAAUAACGGGUUUCGGGUCAACAUGAUAACUAAUUGGGUUAUUAUCGAGUCACACGAUAAGAACCCGUUAUUAAUGGGUCCUUAACAGAUUUACACGAAAGUGAGACGCGGGUAACCUGUUUCGACACGUUAAGAAAAAAGUUAUUUUGAUGAUUUUAAUUUUUUUAAACAACUAAAAAAACUUACUAGAAAUACAAUAGCCAUUAUGUAUAUUUAUAUAUUGUAUAUUAAAUAUUAAAUAUGCAUU
rnacentral:lncRNA from 1 species